rnacentral:rRNA from 1 species
GGUUUCUUGAUAAUUAUAAGAGAUUUAACCUGCCCACUGAUUUAAAAUUGAAGGGCCGCAGUAUAUUAACUGUGCAAAGGUAGCAUAAUCAAUAGUCUUUUAAUUGAAGGCUGGUAUGAAUGGUUGGACGAGGUAAUAACUGUUUCUAGAUAAAUUUUUGUUGAAUUUAGAUUUUAAGUAAAAAUACUUAAUUAAUAUUAAGGGACGAGAAGACCCUAUAGAGUUUAAUAUAUUAUUUAAAUGUUGAUGUUAAUAAAUUUAAUUUAUAAUAAUUUAUUUUGUUGGGGUGAUGAUAAGAUAAUAAAAACUCUUUUUUAAUGUAAAUUUAAAUAAUUAAAUUUUUAAGAUCCAUUAUUUAGUGAUUAUAAGAUUAAAUUACCUUAGGGAUAACAGCAUAAUUCUUUUUGAUAGUUCAUAUAGAUAAAGGAGAUUAUGACCUCGAUGUUGGAUUAAGAAAUAUUUUAGGUGAAGAUGUUUAAUUGAUUUGGUCUGUUCGACCAUUAAAUUCUUACA